rnacentral:rRNA from 1 species
ACGUACACUCCUACGGGAGGCAGCAGUGGGGAAUAUUGGACAAUGGGCGCAAGCCUGAUCCAGCCAUGCCGCGUGAGUGAUGAAGGCCCUAGGGUUGUAAAGCUCUUUCACCGGUGAAGAUAAUGACGGUAACCGGAGAAGAAGCCCCGGCUAACUUCGUGCCAGCAGCCGCGGUAAUACGAAGGGGGCUAGCGUUGUUCGGAUUUACUGGGCGUAAAGCGCACGUAGGCGGACUAUUAAGUCAGGGGUGAAAUCCCGGGGCUCAACCCCGGAACUGCCUUUGAUACUGGUAGUCUUGAGUUCGAGAGAGGUGAGUGGAAUUCCGAGUGUAGAGGUGAAAUUCGUAGAUAUUCGGAGGAACACCAGUGGCGAAGGCGGCUCACUGGCUCGAUACUGACGCUGAGGUGCGAAAGCGUGGGGAGCAAACAGGAUUAGAUACCCUAGUAGUCC